rnacentral:lncRNA from 10 species
GGAAAGGCUGGCACCUUUGUCCCCAGAGAGCCCCAUAGCCUGUGCUAAGCCACAAUUCCAGCCAGCCUAACUGGUGACAUGUGCUGUUCAGCUCACAGGAAAUGUGAGGAAGGAGGCGGGGCUGGACACGCACAGAGACAGCCUGAGGGAGGGGCCAGCACCCCUCAGAAGCAGCCUGGGUCAGGCGCCUGGAGCUGCGUGAGACACCUCAUUCUCCCACACCCUGGGAGCAGUGGGGAACCCUGUAUGCGACUUCACAGCACACCACGCUCCGUGUGAGCUAUUAAAGACCCACCACGCAUCCUCGUCUUUCAGUGACACUUUCCUGAAGAAAUAAUACAAUCUGGAAUUUGCUACAGAAUCAUCCCCUAGGGUUUCCCUCAAAGGCCAGCCAGCAGCACUCCUCUGUGGCCCUGUGAAACCCAGUGACACCUCUGACCCCUCCGGAGUCCGGAAGACUAGACUCUUCUGAAAACCCACCUACGACAGGGUGCGUGGAAUCACCUUUCAAACCAAACUCCUGUCGGCAAAUAUUUUAAUUGGGCCACGGCAUGUGUCCGAGUUUUUCUUCUGUGAAGAGGAUCACUGGGUCUGAGUGCAAAGCUGGGGCCUGUUCAGUGGAGUGGACCCGCUACUGGCCAACCUCUUCCUCGCUUUAUUACAGGGGUGUGUAAGUAAAACCCUCAGGCCCUGAGUAAUUACUGCUGGGGAUUUCCAGCCCUGGUCUGAAACAAGGAACUGAGACUGAGUUUUGAGUCCCAGCAGCCCCUUGGCUUGCCUCUCCAUUUUCUCCACAUCUGAACUGUUCCCACCCCGCCUGAGAUCCCCAGCCUCUUGGGAAUGCAGCUGUGGUAGCAAAGGGGAAACCCUGUGCUGCCCAAGGUCUGACCAACCAAUAGUCCCAAGGGUGCUGAGCCUGGGCAGGCCCAACCGGGCACAACUCGCACAGGACCAUCACUGGUGGGUUGCCCUUGUGCCAAGUUCUUUCACGUCAUCCUCACAAGCGCACUCUACAGAUAAGGUAACUGAGGGCCAGGAAGGUAAUGGAGGUCCCGGGUAGACCACACAGCUAGAAGAUGGUGAGGCCUGGCCUUCCACUAGCCUGACAUGGCUACCAAACACACAGGGCCCAUCUGGUGCUUUGAGUAGGUGGGGUGAAGGGUACCAGGUGCCACCAGCCUGUGGUGAUGUCGGCACUCUGUAAAGACUCUCCUGACGUGCUCCUGCAGUGAAAUGCACAGGUUACAAACAGUUCCUUGAACCCACACAGGGCCACCUCCACGGUCUCCGUGUUGUCUAUGCCUUGUCCCCAGGAUGCCUGAGAGGCAGGACCAGGGUGACCCAGGCAUGCACGGGCCACCACAGCAGGGCUUCAGAUGGCACUGGAGCCCACUCCCCACCGGGCUGGCCCUGGGAACAGUGCACAUGGAGCACAGACUGCAGUUCUGCACUCCCCCACCUCGGUGUCCGGCCAGCCUUCCUGACCACCCUGGACGGUGGGCGGCACUGCCCUGGCAGCCUGUGGGCCCGCACCUGUGCCCCACAGCCCACAUAACCUGCUCCUUGGGCUCAAAACAGCCCCUGCUGAGGCCUCAGUGGCAAAGCACCUGUAAAAACCGGUUCACUUUAAAAACAACAAUGGGGAUGUUGUCGGGUUUUUUUUUUUUUUUUAAUGCAGAAUGGUCUAGACAGUAAUUUACAAAAACUACUUAGCUCAAAAGACUGUGGAAGUGUUCAUCAGCAAGCAAGCUGUCCUUCCAAACCCAAACAUGCCACAGAUGGCACCCAGAAACAGACAGUCUGCCUUCAAUGUGCUAAGCAUUCUAAUGCCGUCCGCGGCUGAGUCACCUCGCCCACCCCCCAACCCCCAACACACAGUCGUGUCUGCUGAGGACACACGGGUGAAUCAAACAGGGCUUUGCUGGGAGAGUGUGUGUCUGUGAUUUGGUUCCCGCCACACCAAGUCUUCCUGCUUCUGACAAACUCCGCACGUGUUCCCAGGCAGCUGGGAGCCAAACUGCCUCUGGUGCAAGUCAGUACAAGAGGCGGCACCUGCAUCCCCACCCCACCUCCACCCCAAGACCCCAGCUCUGCCCUCCCUCUCAGCUCUGGAAAGCGCAGCCCUGAGGGGUGCUGCUGUGCUUACCCUCAGGCGGGCCCCACCCUGCACUCUCCGCUCAGCCUCAUGGGGCUGGUGCAGGUCCACCAGGCUCUGCCCAGUGAAGGCACCUUCCUCUGAGGGGACCUCAUGGGAGCCUCAAACCCCAGGGGCAAAGCCUCAAGUUCACAGCUUCUCAGAGGAAGAAUGACACUGGGAGGAACAAUGACGGGAAGGUGCAUGUCUCGGCCACAGCCACCAAGCUCACCACUUGAAAAGCACUUCCUGCUGGGGCCCUCCUGCUACUCCCAGGAGCAGCCGGCCACCUGAGUGGUCUGUCAUGUCCAUGUGGCCCUCCCUGUCCUGCAGCCACAGCUCCUGUAAUGCUUGGGCAAGUAUGCAAUUGCAUGCUACAACUCAGCCCGGGGGACGGGAAAUGCCACCUGAGUACAGGCAGCACGCGGAGCCCUGACUGAACCCCAUGAGCAACUCAGAAAGAGGAAGCCCAGGGCUUGGGGCAGAAGUAGGAGCUCCAUCAGUAGGCAUGCCUGACUUCUGCAGCGAGGGAAACUUGCAGAUGAAGCCAGGAGGCAGGCAGCGCUGCUCUCCACAGCCACUGCCCCCACAGCGUCCUUCCCUCCCACUUUCUGUUUUUAGCAGCUCUUCCCAACCAAACUACCAACCUAGACUCUCCUGACCUCUGCUUCAGGUCUGCAGAACUUACGAUUCUUACUGCCAUUUGGCCCUUUGUGAAGGCACAAGAGCUCUCAAAGCUCAUCUGUAAAUUGACUCGUUGCUACGCGGAUAGAACUGGAGCAGUGGGAAGCCAAGCGGAGUCCUGGUGAUAGCACGCUGGGUGGGGGCUUCUCCCUCUCAGCCUCUCUCUUCUAGGAGCAGCUGAUAAGAAUGCCAGCUGCAGAAGACUGGAAAUGACCCAACAUCCUCGGGGGAAACACACACACAGUGCUCGGCCCAUAUAUGUUCCGCCAAAGACAGAGCCCAAAUAAGAACGAGCCAGCUUUUCAGGAAUCAACAGGGAACAACCUUCAAGAGACUGCCAAGCACAGAGAUGCACACAACAGCGCACCCUGUGCCGCCGCCUGGAAGAUCCUAGCUGAGGCUGGGCAGACAAGGACCUGAUGGUUGAGCCGCGCAUAGCUGUAGCAGGGGACCGCACCUGGCCUCCAGCACUGACGCAAGCAAGACCUAUCACUGACUGGAGCCCAGUUCCUCCUCUGAGAGCAUGAGAAAACCACAAGAUGGUGUCUGUAGAGCAUGAAUGGUGUGCUGGAGACCACGCCCCCAGGGGCCAGGCCACGAGGACCCGCACACUGCACUUUCUGCUGGGCUGCUCUGUGGUCUGUAAGAUCCAUUCAGGCAGGGCAGUGCCCAGCACGGUGCCUGGAGGCAGCCUCAGAGGCCCAUUGAGAGAGGAAGCCGAAGGAGAGCAGCCCCCCGCCUGCCUGUCCAAUUGGGCUGCUGUAAGAUCCUGAGAACUAGUGACCUUCUAGAAUUCCCCGAGACAAGUCAUCAAAUGCUCUCUGAGCACCGACUGCACACAGGUGCUCUACCAAACUCUGGGCCCGCUGGAUGCUGGGAGGGGGCGUUAGGAUCCCUGUGUACUGACCCGGAGGAGUAGACAGAGACAGCCAAGGUCAAGAACAGAAGCAACAGAUAAAAUGCCACCACUGAGGCUCUCACCCAGGCUGCCAGGAAACCCCAGGGGAGGACUACACUUGGCUCAGGUCCAGGGCCACCCCUUCCCCCACAGCUCCUGGGCUCUGUGUGGAGCUGGAGGGACAGGAGUGGGCACAGGGGCCUUCUCAUUGGGCAUUCCUGCAACGAGGGCCACGGUGCAGAGAACCAAGGACACUGUCACCCAAGAAAGAGUCUGGUGACUCUGUGGAUCCCAUGGUAACCACCAUUUAAGGAUGGACACUCACGCUAUGAUCCAGCAAUUCCACUCCAAGCAGCACCUACAGAAAUGCACUCAGAGCAGCUGUAUCAGAACAGCCCCAACUGAAAACAGCCCACGCAGCCACCAACAGAACACCGAAUAAAUAAAUCAUGGUCUGUCCAUUCAAUGUUGGAUGAACAAACUGCUGCUACACAUAACCUCAAAGACAAAUCUCAAAACAACGUUGAGUCAAAGAGCCAAACACAAAAAAACACAUUUUUUUUUUGUCCUGGAUUAAAAGGUCAAAAGCAGGCAAGACUUCUAGAUGGUGAGAGCAGUCAGGGUAGUGGCAGGCAGAGAAUGACUAGGAGAGGACGUUGAAGAUGGCUUCAGGGGAAAGGCUCUGUUCCUUAACCUGGGUGGACUGGGGUUCUCAGAUGUGUUCAUAAAUGUUCAUUCAGCUGUAAAACUUGGGACUUGUACACUUUUCUAGAUGUAUAUUUUCUAGACUAUAUUUACAAAGGUUGUUAAAAAUAACCUACUGUGUGUGAAUUCCAUGAUCUUAGAGGCCACCUCAUCCUACAGAAACAGAUGGUGAAGCUGUCAGGGUUGUGGAGGAGGGGGAGGUGUUGGCAAAGCAGCCCCUCGUUCCCCACGGCCCAGACCCUCUGAGAGCCCCACAGAACAAGGUCUGAAAACAGCUUCAACACAAGCCCUGGCCACCUCUACAACACACAGUGAUGCAAUGUGCACUGCACUUCACUGCUCACUGAGAAACGUGUCUGCACUCUCCUGCCCUGGAUGGGACUGAGGAGGACAAGGGCACUCUGAAGCUUCCCCGGCAGGAGUACUCAACAGAUGAGUGUCCCCAGGAAGAAGUGAGCACUAAUGCUACUGGAAAGAGGCAGGCAGGCAGCACCCACUGGGCAUGGUGCCAGCACCCUGCAGGGCACUGGGGUCUUGCCACACCAUGGUCUCCCCUGAGACCACAGAUACGCCCCCUCCACCCCCAACAGGUAUUAAGCCACUUUCCCAUCCAAGAAGCCAGGGUGCCAGCUGGCCACAGAUUCGUUACUAACCUAACCUGCUACCCCAUGCAGCCAGCACACACCUGCCUCCCUGCUCCACUGUGACACAGGACACUUUAGGAUGAGGCAAAUCUGCACAUCUAUACAGCGGAAAAGGACAGUGAAGAAAUGCCUCUUCUACUCCUAGUUUGCUGAGAGGUUUUAUCAGGAAUAGAUGUCUGAUUUUGUCACAUGCUUUUCCUGCAUGUACUGGGAUGAUUAUAAGGCUUUUCAUUUCUGGCCUUGUAAUAUGGUUGAUUACACACAUUUUCAAAUGUUAUCUGCCUCCCUUGCUUUAAUUUCAGCUCCCUUUCUUUGCUACCUUGAUUGUGGUGUUGGUGUUACUGAUGUACUUACAAGUUAAAAUUUAUCAAAUUAUAUACUUCUGCUAUGCGCAGUUUAUUGUAUGUCAAUUAUAUCUCAAUAAAGCUAUUAAUGUCAGGCACAGCGGCUCACACCUGUAAUCCAAGCACUUUGGGAGGUGGAGGCAGGUGGAUCACCUGAGGCCAGGAGUUUGAGACCAGCCUGGGCAACAUGGCGAAACCCUGUCUCUACUAAAAAUACAAAAAAAUUAGCCAGGCGUGGUGGCAGGCACCUGUAAUCCCAGCUACUUGGGAGGCUGACGCAUGAGAAUCACUUGAACCCGGGAGGUGGAGGUUGCAGUGAGCUGAGAUUGCACCACUGCACUCCAGCCUGGGCCACAGAGAGAGACUUUCUCAAAAUAAAAUAAAAUAAAUAAAUAAAUAAAUAAAUAAAUAAAUAAAUAAAUAAAUAAAGCUAUUAAAAAAACACCCAUGGAGGCAGACAGAUGCAGCAGGUCCUAGGAAAAGUAGGAGGGAUGGCAGGCAGAGAGAAGGACUGCUUCUUUGUUAGAGAGGGGAACCAGAUGCCACCUGGGUUUGUCCUCCCUGGGGAAGGAGGGUGGGCCCUUUGGGGAGGCUCCUUCUCUCCUCAGUAGAAGGAGAAUGACUGUCACGCCUAGGAUCUCAGAGGGACUGUAAGGACUGAAAGAUACACUUGAGAAUGCACACAAUGCACUCCCCAUCUCAGACCAGACUCCUGCAGGCAUCAGUAGGCACCUGCUUUUUCCUUCUGGGACAUUCUGUAUGCACCCACAAACACUUGUGCACUGCACUGAUUAGGCAUCCUAAUUGUAGCUUUGGAAAAAAGCUGUAGCUGAAGCUGGGUCACAGUGUCCUAUGAGCUGUGAAAUAAAAUGCCAAGCAGCCACCAAGCCACUUCCCAAGGCUGAACUUACACACACACCCCCUUGUAUGCCUACCUAUAGGGUUUGGUCAUACUUCACUGGAGACCCAGGUGAAGGAACCAACUUCCUACACUCGAGAAAAGGCCAGCGGCUGCAGACAUCUGCAAAGUCUUGGGCAAACGACAGUCUGCUCUCCCCAAAACAUGGUGCAAGCAAUG